rnacentral:rRNA from 1 species
UACAGAGGGUGCAAGCGUUGUUCGGAAUUAUUGGGCGUAAAGGGCGCGUAGGCGGUGCGGUAAGUCUGUAGUGAAAUCUCUGGGCUCAACUCAGAGUCUGCUGCAGAAACUGCCGUGCUUGAGUGUGGGAGAGGUGAGUGGAAUUCCCAGUGUAGAGGUGAAAUUCGUAGAUAUUGGGAAGAACACCGGUGGCGAAGGCGGCUCACUGGCUCAUUACUGACGCUCAUGCGCGACAGCGUGGGGAUCAAACAGG